rnacentral:tRNA from 1 species
GCCUUCGUGGUGAGGUGGUCAGCACGCUCAGCGCGUACGCGAGAGGUCCCUGGUUCGAGUCCCGGCAAGGGCA